CACGAUAGGACACAAUUCACUUGUAUAUACGCUGUGAUAUGGACAGCAAGUUUCUACCCAGUUGCCGUAAAUAACUGGACUAUGAGUGAGAGUAACGUUGUA
rnacentral:ncRNA from 2 species